rnacentral:rRNA from 1 species
CGCACGAGUUCAGACUCGUGGCGAAUAGCUCAGUAACACGUGGCCAAACUACCCUUCGGAGCUCCAUACCCUCGGGAAACUGAGGCUAAUAGAGCAUACCACAAUCCAGCUGGAAUGAGGAUUGUGUCAAACGCUCCGGCGCCGAAGGAUGUGGCUGCGGCCGAUUAGGUAGACGGUGGGGUAACGGCCCACCGUGCCAAUAAUCGGUACGGGUCAUGAGAGUGAGAACCCGGAGACGGAAUCUGAGACAAGAUUCCGGGCCCUACGGGGCGCAGCAGGCGCGAAACCUUUACACUGCACGCCAGUGCGAUAAGGGGAUCCCAAGUGCGCAGGCAUAGAGCCUGCGCUUUUGUACACCGUAGGGAGGUGUACGAAUAAGGGCUGGGCAAGACCGGUGCCAGCCGCCGCGGUAAUACCGGCAGCCCGAGUGAUGGCCGAUUUUAUUGGGCCUAAAGCGUCCGUAGCUGGCCGCGCAAGUCCAUCGGAAAAUCCACCCGCCCAACGGGUGGGCGUCCGGUGGAAACUGCGUGGCUUGGGACCGGAAGGCGCGACGGGUACGUCCGGGGUAGGAGUGAAAUCCCGUAAUCCUGGACGGACCGCCGAUGGCGAAAGCACGUCGCGAGGACGGAUCCGACAGUGAGGGACGAAAGCCAGGGUCUCGAACCGGAUUAGAUACCCGGGUAGUCCUGGCCGUAAACAAUGUCUGUUAGGUGUGGCUCCCACUACGAGUGGGUGCUGUGCCGUAGGGAAGCCGCUAAACAGACCGCCUGGGAAGUACGUCCGCAAGGAUGAAACUUAAAGGAAUUGGCGGGGGAGCACUACAACCGGAGGAGCCUGCGGUUUAAUUGGACUCAACGCGGACAUCUCACCAGCAUCGACUGUAGUAAUGACGAUCAGGUUGAUGACCUU